UUUCACCAUGUAUUAGUCUGUUCCCUGCCACUCUUUAUACUGCACCUUUAGCCUGUCACGUAAGCGCACAAUGAAAGCACCAUUCCAGUGGGUGGAGCAAAGGUGAGCCUUAUUUUAGGGACAUGAGCUUUAAAUGGUGUGAUGAAGAUGCUGAUG